AAGAUUUUAAUGAUCGAACAGAUCAAAAAUUUUAAACUUUUGCAUUUAAAUUUUAUUUUAAUCCAACAUCGAGGUCGCAAACUCUUUUUUUUAUUUGAACUAAAAAAAAAAAUUACG
rnacentral:rRNA from 1 species